rnacentral:rRNA from 1 species
GACGAACGCUGGCGGCGUGCUUAACACAUGCAAGUCGAACGGAAAGGCCCUGCUUUUGUGGGGUGCUCGAGUGGCGAACGGGUGAGUAACACGUGAGUAACCUGCCCGUGACUUUGGGAUAACUUCAGGAAACUGGGGCUAAUACCGGAUAGGAGCUCCUGCUGCAUGGUGGGGGUUGGAAAGUUUCGGCGGUUGGGGAUGGACUCGCGGCUUAUCAGCUUGUUGGUGGGGUAGUGGCUUACCAAGGCUUUGACGGGUAGCCGGCCUGAGAGGGUGACCGGCCACAUUGGGACUGAGAUACGGCCCAGACUCCUACGGGAGGCAGCAGUGGGGAAUAUUGCACAAUGGGCGGAAGCCUGAUGCAGCAACGCCGCGUGCGGGAUGACGGCCUUCGGGUUGUAAACCGCUUUCGCCUGUGACGAAGCGUGAGUGACGGUAAUGGGUAAAGAAGCACCGGCUAACUACGUG